GCGCUAUUCCCAAACGGGA
rnacentral:miRNA from 1 species